rnacentral:rRNA from 1 species
GGAGCAAACAGGAUUAGAUACCCUGGUAGUCCACGCUGUAAACGAUGAGUACUAGGUGUCGGGGGUUACCCCCUUCGGUGCCGCAGCUAACGCAUUAAGUACUCCGCCUGGGAAGUCCGCUCGCAAGCGUGAAACUCAAAUGCAUUGACGGGUACCCGCACAAGUAGCGGAGCAUGUGGUUUAAUUCGAAGCAACGCGAAGAACCUUACCUAAGCUUGACAUCCCAAUGACAUCCCCUUAAUCCGAGAGUUCCUUUCGGGGACAUUGGUGACAGGUGGUGCAUGGUUGUCGUCAGCUCGUGUCGUGAGAUGUUGGGUUAAGUCCCGCAACGAGCGCAACCCUUGUCUUUAGUUGCCAUCAUUAAGUUGGGCACUCUAGAGAGACUGCCAGGGAUAACCUGGAGGAAGGUGGGGAUGACGUCAAAUCAUCAUGCC